GACGAACGCUGGCGGCGUGCCUAACACAUGCAAGUCGAACGGGGCUAGGAAAGCUUGCUUUCUGAUGCCUAGUGGCGGACGGGUGAGUAACGCGUGAGUAACCUGCCUUUCAGAGGGGAAUAACGUUCUGAAAAGAACGCUAAUACCGCAUAACGUACAGCUUUCGCAUGGAAGCAGUACCAAAGGAGCAAUCCGCUGAGAGAUGGACUCGCGUCCGAUUAGCUAGUUGGUGGGGUAACGGCCUACCAAGGCGACGAUCAGUAGCCGGCCUGAGAGGGUGAACGGCCACAUUGGGACUGAGACACGGCCCAA
rnacentral:rRNA from 1 species